CCUACGGGCGGCAGCAGUGGGGAAUAUUGGACAAUGGGGGCAACCCUGAUCCAGCCAUGCCGCGUGUGUGAAGAAGGCCCUCGGGUUGUAAAGCACUUUCAGUGAGGAAGAACGCCUGGUGGUUAAUACCCAUCAGGAAAGACAUCACUCACAGAAGAAGCACCGGCUAACUCCGUGCCAGCAGCCGCGGUAAUACGGAGGGUGCGAGCGUUAAUCGGAAUUACUGGGCGUAAAGCGCGCGUAGGUGGCUUGAUAAGCCGGUUGUGAAAGCCCCGGGCUCAACCUGGGAACGGCAUCCGGAACUGUCAAGCUAGAGUGCAGGAGAGGAAGGUAGAAUUCCCGGUGUAGCGGUGAAAUGCGUAGAGAUCGGGAGGAAUACCAGUGGCGAAGGCGGCCUUCUGGACUGACACUGACACUGAGGUGCGAAAGCGUGGGUAGCAAACAGGAUUAGAUACCCCAGUAGUA
rnacentral:rRNA from 1 species